GAUGAACGCUGGCGGCGUGCCUAAUACAUGCAAGUCGAGCGCACAAACUAGGAGCUUGCUCCUCUGAUGUUAGCUGCGGACGGGUGAGUAACACGUGGAUAACCUACCUAUAAGCCUGGGAUAACUUCGGGAAACCGGAGCUAAUACCGGAUAACAUUUUGAACCGCAUGGUUCAACCGUAAAAGACGCUCUUGCUGUCCCUUCUAAAUGGCUUCGCGCCGCAUUAGCUAGUUGGUAAGGUAACGGCUUACAAAGGCAACGAUGCGUAGCCGACCUGAGAGGGUGAUCGGCCACACUGGAACUGAGACACGGUCCAGACUCCUACGGGAGGCAGCAGUAGGGAAUCUUCCGAAAUGGGCGAAAGCCUGACGGAGAAACGCCGCGUGAGUGAAGAAGGUCUUCGGAUCGUAAAACUCUGUUAAUAGGGAAGAACAAAGGUGUAAGGAAAUAUGCACGUCUUGACGGUACCUAACCAGAAAGCCACGGCUAACUACGUG
rnacentral:rRNA from 1 species